rnacentral:rRNA from 1 species
GAUGAACGCUGGCGGCGUGCCUAAUACAUGCAAGUCGAGCGAAUGGAUUAAGAGCUUGCUCUUAUGAAGUUAGCGGCGGACGGGUGAGUAACACGUGGGUAACCUGCCCAUAAGACUGGGAUAACUCCAGGAAACCGGGGCUAAUACCGGAUAACAUUUUGAACCGCAUGGUUCGAAAUUGAAAGGCGGCUUCGGCUGUCACUUAUGGAUGGACCCGCGUCGCAUUAGCUAGUUGGUGAGGUAACGGCUCACCAAGGCAACGAUGCGUAGCCGACCUGAGAGGGUGGUCGGCCACCCUGGGACUGAGACACGGCCCAGACUCCUACGGGAGGCAGCAGUAGGGAAUCUUCCGCAAUGGACGAAAGUCUGACGGAGCAACGCCGCGUGAGUGAUGAAGGCUUUCGGGUCGUAAAACUCUGUUGUUAGGGAAGAACAAGUGCUAGUUGAAUAAGCUGGCACCUUGACGGUACCUAACCAGAAAGCCACGGCUAACUACGUGCCAGCCGCCGCGGUAA